CUAGCCUGUCCUUUCCCAGCCCAACCCUAACCACCAAUUACAGCCCAAACCCUAACCACCACCACCAGGUCCACCAGCACAUAAAUUUGCAAAACCCCAACACGCCACCCAAAAAGAGCACCAAGCAAAGGAUAUUAUUGUACUUUAAACACAAAUAAAAAAUUAAUGGGGGGUUCGUUAGAGACCAAGUUUUUGCAAGAACCAGUGCAGCUUUAACUUGUUUGGUAUUAUUUGCUAGGCUCCGGAAACCUGACCCGAAUCAUGAAGCAUCAAAGAAAGCCCUUGAACAUAAGAAGGAAAUCAAUAAGCGUUUGGGUCAUUCCCUUAUCCAAACAAACCCUUAUGAGGGAUGUAUGUGUGUCAAAGUUUCUGUUGAAAAGUUUGGAUUUCUUUUUUGCAUUUUUUUUUGGGAGGUGUAGGAGGAUUCUGUGAAUCUUGGUUAUAAUGGAAUAUAGGGUUUGUUUUGGUUUAUUGUUUUCUGGAGGAUUUUGUGAAUGUUGGUUAUAUGGUCAGAUAAUGGAACGAAGAAUUUUAUGAAUUUGGAUUAUAAGGUUAGUUAAUGGCCUAUAGGCUUUGUUUUUGUUAUGUGCUAUUGGUUUUAUUAUAUGCUUGAAAUGUCAUUUAUCUACAAAAUUUUGGGUUUUGUGUGUUAUAGUGGGGUUGGGGUUGAUAUUGCAAUGAGGGAUGUGGGUGGCUUAUUGUAUGGAAUAUGGAUUGGGGGGAUUUGGGUGUUUUAGUGUAGACAGGUAAUUUAAAAGUUUUUGGAACGUGGGGGAGUGACUUCUUGUGCUGAAUAGGGAGUGUUUAAGUUUCUAGUUCUGUUGGGAUGAAUGAAGUUGUUUUGUGUUGGUGGAAACUAAGUUCAUUUCUGAUUGAGUUGUAUAUUAAGCUUUUGUACUGGAGCGCUAGAGUUUAUGCCUCUGGGUUGAUGUUAUAGCAUGCUUGAAUUGUCAUUUAUUUGCAAAAAGUUUGAAUUUUGUGUGAUAAUGGGAUGAGGACUAUGAGGUUAAUACUGCAAUGAGGGAUGUGUGUGGUUUGGUGGGUUAUUAUAGGGAACAGUGAUUGGGGAAUCCGUGUGUUUUGGUGAAGAUAGGUGCUUCAAUCAGUUUUUGGGAUGUUGAGGAGUGAUUGCUCAUGCCGAAUGGGAUAUGAUUAAAUUUCAAGUUUUGUUGGAUGGAUGGAAUUGUUUUGGGAUGGUGGAAACUGGAGGCCAAGUUCAUUUUUUAUAUAUUGGAACUUUUGUACUGUUGUGUUGACCUCUGGGUUGGUGUUAUAGUAUUGUUGUCAUUGUUUUUACAACCAUAGACAAUUAUAAUAUUUUCUGGUGUCUUCAAACAUGCCAUUUGUUUUCUAGGCUGUCCAUACUUUGUUGGCUGCUACCAUGCAAUAAAUAUCAGAGUUUCUAAUGUCAACUAAAUACAUGAAAAUAUCCAUCAUACGGAGUAGAUUUGAGUCUCUGCUAUAUCAUAAACUAAUGGCACAUGAUUAGUUACAGUUAUGCGAGUCCACCUUUUUUGUUUGAAAAUGAGACUAUGUGAAUGCUGAUGGCUGCUAUGUUCGGUAAUAGACUUUUGCGUGACUGACUGGGACAGGUUCAUAAUUGGAAGAAAUUAAAUUUGAAGACUAGGCCUUGAACCAAUAUGAUGGCUAUAUAUAUAUAUUAGUUCUUUCUAUACCCGAUGAAAUUUGGAUUUGAAAACCAACUUUUCAAUUAUGAAACCUUCUGAUUGCGAUUACUUUGUGGAAGAUUUAAACUGCUUUGUAACAAUCAAGCCUAUCUUCUAAACACUAUCCAAUGUGGCCAUGUUCUCAUGUUGAAAAUGUAAUUGAGUGGAAUAGAGGCUUUAGAAUUUAUGUUCGGUUUAAUGGUUUAUCAAUAUGCUGCAAUUGUGUAUUUUUAUUUUUGGGUCAAUUGGAGGAUUGGAAUCUAUCAAGCAAGCUUUGUAUGAAUUGGUGAUUCUUCCUCUACAAAAACCUGAGCUCUUCUCACAUGGGAAACUUCUUGGUCCAUAAAAGGGGGUUUUGUUAUAUGGACCUCCAGGCACCGGGAAGACCAUGCUUGCAAAAGCUAUUGUCAGAGAGUCUGGAGUUAUUUUAAAAAUAUGAGGAUCUCCAAUCUGAUGAGCAAGUGGUUCGAUGAUGCACAAAAGCUCGUGCUGUUGUUUUUAGCCUGGCUUAUAAACUCCAGCCUGCUUUUAUAUUAAUUGACGAGGUUGACAGUUUUCUGGGGCAGCGUCGUACUACAGACCAUGAGGCAUUAACCAAUAUGAAGACUAAGUUCAUGGCAUUAUGGAAUGGGUUUACUAUAUAUAGAUCGUUUGUUCUUACUCUUGAAACAACUCCUAUAUUUGUGCAGUCUUUUUAUACAGUGACUUGCUAGAAUGUGUUUUAUGUAAGAUUUGUGAAAGUGAUUUAUUCAUGGGCCUGGCCUGGGUGGACUCAGUGAUAAUAUUCUUACAGAGAAUGCACAAGAGAUGGUACUUGCUGGAACCAGCCGACCUUGAGAACUCGAUGAAGCAAUCCUUCAGCAUCUUCCUCAGCCUUUGAAAUUGGGAUACCUAAUCAAAGAGAGAGGGCUGAGAUCCUGAAGGUCGUUUUGAAAAGGGGAGAAAAUCGAAAGCAAAAUUGACUUUGACUACAUAGCAAGUUUUUGUGAGAGCUAUACUAGUUCAGAUUUUCUUGAACCUUGCAAGAAAGUAGCUUAUUUUCCUAUUAGGGACUUAUUGGGUAAGGAGAACAAGGGAAACAAAAUCUAGAGCACCAAGGCCAUUGUCCCAGUCAGACUUGCAGAGAGUUCUUGGCACAUCAACUAAGACCAGGGUUGCUGCAAAUGAGUACAGUAGUUCAAGCUCACAUUCACCUAGGUGGCCAGGUAGUCAGAUGACUACCAGGUUCAAGCCAUAACUAAUAAGCUCUCUACACUCAUAGUAUCUCAAAUUUUGAAUCUUCAGUCGGAUAAUCAGGACCCUUGAAAUAUUCAUUUGUUUUUUCUUAAUAUCAGGCCAAGACAAAUUGUAUUUUAAAUUAUUUUAAUGUUUUUCCUAUUCUGAAAUGCUCUAAGUAGAAUAUGUUGUUUUUAGGCAACUCAGAAUUGCAGAUUUGCUGUAGCAUAGAGCUCUUAACGUGGUAUUAAUAUCUAUCUUGCUUUUCUUUUGCUUUAGAUAUAAACUUGCCAAUCACCGAUGUUGAC